CCCCAGACCUCUGUAAACAUAAAUUUGAACUUGGCGUGAUUUUUAUUCACAAUUUAGUUAAUUUCAUACCGAAAACAAAGCUUACUCGUUGAAUGAGGUGCAGUCGAACAUUAGAGGGUGGCCUUUCUCAUCACUGUGAUUAUCAAGGUUGUAACUGGCCCAUAAAGUACACUUCUACAAGUUUCCAUCCAUCCAACAACGCACCCUCGUACUUUCGCCGUCAAAUACGCCGUACAUGUUAUGGCCCUGGUUUGCCGUAUCGGUUUGCAGCCCCUUAGCUGCGCUCGCCACCGAGAACCCGAAUGUUUAUAGAACUGUCGCUAAGUGGCACCACCUUCUGGAAUUCAAAAUCAAGGGAUCAGACUAUGCAAUUCAAAUUCAAUUAACUUCAAUCUUACAAUUAGUAUUUGAGUUUCAUCAAGUUAGCAAUCAUUUUGAAUAGAGGGGAUAGAUGAAUAAAUUACAACGACAAUUGUUAUAGGCAAACUUUGAAAUUUCAGUAUAUAUUAUUGUAAAUUCAAUGGAUAUAAAACAUCUUUCCGUCCUCGUACAACAACGUAGAUAUAUAUACAUUAUGUACGUAUGUAUAUAAAUAUUAUUAUAAUUGUGUAUAAAAAUUAUAGUUAUAAAAUGGUUUGACAGUUACUCGAAGGUAAUGGGCAUAGAGUGGUAGUGGAUACUUAUGUGUGUAUGUAUAAUGAUCAAUAAAUUACUUAUUUUAUCUCUGUA